ensembl:snRNA U6 U6 spliceosomal RNA
UUGCUUGCUUCGGCAGCACAUAUACUAAAAUUGGAACGAUACAGAGAAGAUUAGCAUGGCCCCUGUGCAAGGAUGAUAUAAAAUAAUCUUCCAUUUGCCAACUAUAU